AUUGAACGCUGGCGGCAGGCCUAACACAUGCAAGUCGAGCGGAUGAAGGGAGCUUGCUCCUGGAUUCAGCGGCGGACGGGUGAGUAAUGCCUAGGAAUCUGCCUGGUAGUGGGGGAUAACGUCCGGAAACGGGCGCUAAUACCGCAUACGUCCUGAGGGAGAAAGUGGGGGAUCUUCGGACCUCACGCUAUCAGAUGAGCCUAGGUCGGAUUAGCUAGUUGGUGGGGUAAAGGCCUACCAAGGCGACGAUCCGUAACUGGUCUGAGAGGAUGAUCAGUCACACUGGAACUGAGACACGGUCCAGACUCCUACGGGAGGCAGCAGUGGGGAAUAUUGGAAAAUGGGCGAAAGCCUGAUCCAGCCAUGCCGCGUGUGUGAAGAAGGUCUGCGGAUUGUAAAGCACUUUAAGUUGGGAGGAAGGGCAGUAAGUUAAGACCUUGCUGUUUUGACGUUACCAACAGAAUAAGCACCGGCUAACUUCGU
rnacentral:rRNA from 1 species